rnacentral:rRNA from 1 species
UACGGAGGGUGCAAGCAUUAAUCGGAUUUAUUGGGCGUAAAGGGCGCGUAGGCGGGGAUAAUAGUCAGAUGUGAAAUCCUGGGGCUCAACCUCAGAACUGCAUUUGAAACUGUAUCUCUAGAGGAUAGGAGGAGAAAACGGAAUUCCACAAGUAGCGGUGAAAUGCGUAGAUAUCAGGAGGAACACCGGUGGCGAAGGCGGCUCUCUGGACGGAUACUGACGCUGAGGCGCGAAAGCGUGGGGAUCAAACAGG